GAGGAUGUAGCUCAGUAGGAGAGCAUUUGCUUAACAUGCUGAGGGAGGGGAGGAGAGUACAUCCAUCCUCA
rnacentral:tRNA from 1 species